UCCUCCCUCGUCGCAGCCGCCGCCGCCGCCGCCGCCGCCUCAGCCUUCGCCUCAGCCGCCGCCCGCUCCCGCCCGCGCGCGGCGGGAUGGACGAUCAAUCCAGGAUGCUGCAGACUCUGGCCGGGGUGAACCUGGCUGGCCACUCGGUGCAGGGGGGCAUGGCCCUGCCGCCUCCCCCGCACGGCCACGAAGGGGCGGACGGCGACGGCAGGAAGCAGGACAUCGGCGACAUCCUCCACCAGAUCAUGACCAUCACCGACCAGAGCUUGGACGAGGCGCAAGCAAAGAAACAUGCCCUGAACUGUCACAGAAUGAAACCAGCGCUCUUCAGCGUCCUGUGUGAGAUCAAAGAGAAAACAGAAUGUCCUCAUUUAAACUUUUUUUUUUAACAACUCAUGGAUUUGGUCUCUGAGUUACUUUACCUCUACUCAAG
rnacentral:sRNA from 1 species